GCUGAGCAUCGCGGGAACAAAGGGGAGGGAAACACGAUCCUCGCCCUGAGCGGCUCCCGGUCCCAGGGGGAGAAAACCCGAAAACUGCGCAAACAAGGGGCGGAGCCUGUGGGUGCGUGAAGGGAGACGCCCCCGCGCCCACAGGGACCCACAGGCCGCGUAGCUGGAGACGGAGAGAAGGGGGAGGGGCAAUUAGCAGAGGGAAGGUGCGGAACAAGGGGGGCGGGAAAGGGCCCCGCGGGAGCCGAUCUGCGGCGCUGUCCCCGAGAAGGAGGACCGCGGAGGGAGACGGGCCCGCGGAGGGAGACGGGUCGGCGGAGGGAGACAAAAUGGCGGGCGGGUUGGGGGAGGGGACCGGGGAUAAGGGAGAAAAUGGCAGGAACAGACCCGGGAGGUAAAUGAAGGUUCCGCCACUGAUGACAUCCCGCCCUGACCCCUUUCCCUGACUCCCGGCGGGGCCUCCCUCCCCUCUGGGCCCGGCAGCAGGACGGGCGAGACGUUCGCUGGGGCGUGGCUGACGGGCGGAGCCGGCGCCACAUCCCCAGGUCCCUGGUCCCCAAAGCGCCCUGUCCCCGGGGCCCCUGCAGGGGGCGCCCCCACUCACCGAGGGAGCGGCGGGCGGAGGGAGCCCGGCGGCCAUUUCUCCCCCUCGGAGCCUCCUCGAG
rnacentral:lncRNA from 1 species